rnacentral:rRNA from 1 species
GACAGAGGGUGCAAACGUUGUUCGGAAUUACUGGGCGUAAAGCGCGUGUAGGCGGCGCGGUAAGUCAGGGGUGAAAUCCCGGGGCUCAACCUCGGAACUGCCUUUGAUACUGCAAAUCUCGAGUCCGGAAGAGGUGAGUGGAAUUCCUAGUGUAGAGGUGAAAUUCGUAGAUAUUAGGAAGAACACCAGUGGCGAAGGCGGCUCACUGGUCCGGUACUGACGCUGAGGUGCGAAAGCGUGGGGAGCAAACAGG